AACCUGGAACUUAGCGAAGACGCACAUGUUUUGGAUCAAGAUGAAUGAAAACAACUCAGAGUGAUCCAAAUUUCCAAUGUUUGUUGUUCGGUUUCGAUGGUCGAAGUUGCAGUUGACAAAAAAAAACAUUUGUGAUUGAAAAAGCAGAAAAAAUAAUUAACGACUUUAUAUUUUCUUCUAGAAAUCUUUACGGUAGCGGUUAAAUUUUAAAUUUUCUUUUGUUUGUUAUUUUUUUUCAGGUUAGUUUCCACAGGUUUCCACCGGAUGCAGCGUAAUCGCAGAUACAGCGGAAAAAUCCAUUGGCUCAAGGGAACAAUGCUAAUCAUCGUACGGCAGGAUGUGAAGAUUAUAAACCACGGCGAAAACGCGACAGGUAUAUUCCCGCCAGAAGCCUUUUUUGGUCAGACUAACAUUGGCAAGUUCCAGUUGUUCUGGAUCUUUUUUCCAUCAAACCCAACCUAACGGUUUUCGAAUUCUGAUAAAUCGGGUUUAAAAUAAAAUCCAGAUACAAAUCGGAUACAUUUCUCGGCGGAUUGAUUAUGGGCAGAAUCAGCGUUAGUUCAGUAUUUUUUCGAAAAUGCAGUGCUGCAGUUUGGCAACCAACUUGCGCAUAAUUGUCAGCUGAUUCUAAUCAACAUGGAACUUGUCGUCGUAACAGGAGUUUAGCGAGAGAAAAUAACUAUUAGUCCAACAAUCCGGUAUGACAACGAACAAAAACGAACACAAAAAAUCAACAGAAUCCUGCUGGCAGUGGGGGUUGGGGGCGAAUGGGAGUUAUUCUAACCAAUUCCAUCGGAUGCGGCCAAGGGAUCGGUGGAAGUCAGAUUAAAAGAACGGCAUCGAGAAAUUCUUCUGUUGGCAGGAGGGGAACGAUAUCCUACACUGCAAAAAAUCCACACUUAGAAUGUAUGUUUCCUCACACAUAAGGUCCUCAAAACUGCUCUACGCAUAGAUUUCAUAUACUUCAUAUGAACAUCAUAUGUCACACAUAAAUUAUAUAUUCAAACAUGAAGUUUAUAUGAUAUUGACUCAUACAUUCUAUGAUUUUCGUCUUUGAGGAUUUCCAUUUAUUCAAAAUGGCCACCCUGAAGAAAAAGUUGGUGUGCCCGUUUAAGUGUAAACAUUUUAACUAGGCAACUAAUCCCUGACUACUGCCAAAGGAGGCAAGGACGUCAGCCUGGUGUCCAUCAAAUCCGUCGAUAUGGUUCCAUUAACGUCGUCUUAGCGGUGAUUUUCCGGUGCGAAAUUCUCAUUUAUGUUCAUGUAUG